GACGAACGCUGGCGGCGUGCUUAACACAUGCAAGUCGAACGGAAAGGCCCUGCUUUGGUGGGGUGCUCGAGGGGCGAACGGGUGAGUAACACGUGAGUAACCUGCGCUGGACGUUGGGAUAACGUCAGGAAACUGGGGCUAAUACCGGAUAGGAGCUGCUGCUGCAUGGGGGGGGUUGGAAAGUUUCGGCGGUUGGGGAUGGACUCGCGGCUUAUCAGCUUGUGGGUGGGGUAGUGGCUUACCAAGGCUUUGACGGGUAGCCGGCCUGAGAGGGUGACCGGCCCCCUUGGGACUGCGGUACGGCCCAGACUCCUACGGGAGGCAGCAGUGGGGAAUAUUGCCCAAUGAGCGGAAGCCUGAUGCAGCAACGCCGCGUGCGGGAUGACGGCCUUCGGGUUGUAAACCGCUUUCGCCUGUGACGAAGCGUGGGUGACGGUACUGGGUAAAGAAGCACCGGCUAACUACGUG
rnacentral:rRNA from 1 species